UGCUGAGUCAGGGUGGCCUAGAUGGU
rnacentral:piRNA from 1 species